AAGCGAGUGAGAAUUAGUAAAUUUUUAGUGGUUCACCAAUACUCUUUCUAAAGGUUGACCGAAUGAAUCGUUCAAUGUUUCCACUAUUUCAGAAGCAACAGAAAGAAGUUACCUGCCACCAUCUCAGAAUGAAUCAAAUAAUGAAGUGAAGGUUUUACUGACUCUGUGCGUGGUGUGUGUGUGCACAUCUGUGCUGCUCAUCUGCAUCACUUUUGCCUCCCGGCGGCACUUGGCCAAGUGGAAAACCAAAGGUCUGACAGUAUUCUGGUUCUCCAAGGACACGACGGAAGAGGACGCCCAGACCCCGAUCCAGGAGGAGUGCGGAGAGUCUGAAAAGUGUGACCCUUCAGACUGCUAGUGGAAAGUAACGGGGGCUCAGUGGAAGGUGGCAGGAGCAGACGGAUGAGAAACAGGAAGGGUGUGUCACGGCACUGAAGGGCGAAGAAGGGCGAAAAAGAGCUCCAUCGACACUCGAAGGGUAAAGGAAGGAAAUGCUCUUGUGCAGGGGUGUAUUUAUGGAAGCGUGCACACACUACACAAGGAGGCCACACACACACACACACACACACACACUAAGGCAUGACACACAACUAUGCAAAUGCUUACUCUGAGAGCACACUUCUAUGUUGUAGUGACAGCUAACAUUUACGUAGUGACAUUUAUCGUGUAGAUUACAGGUUAGAUAUAUCUGCGAUAUGUGAUUACUACAACAUAUUGUGGAAUUAUUAUA
rnacentral:lncRNA from 1 species